AGUGAACGCUGGCGGUAGGCCUAACACAUGCAAGUCGAACGGCAGCACAGUAAGAGCUUGCUCUUACGGGUGGCGAGUGGCGGACGGGUGAGGAAUACAUCGGAAUCUACUUUUUCGUGGGGGAUAACGUAGGGAAGCUUACGCUAAUACCGCAUACGACCUACGGGUGAAAGCAGGGGAUCUUCGGACCUUGCGCGAUUGAAUGGGCCGAUGUCGGAUUAGCUAGUUGGCGGGGUAAAGGCCCACCAAGGCGACGAUCCGUAGCUGGUCUGAGAGGAUGAUCAGCCACACUGGAACUGAGACACGGUCCAGACUCCUACGGGAGGCAGCAGUGGGGAAUAUUGGACAAUGGGCGCAAGCCUGAUCCAGCCAUACCGCGUGGGUGAAGAAGGCCUUCGGGUUGUAAAGCCCUUUUGUUGGGAAAGAAAAGCAGCAGGUUAAUACCCCGCUGUUCUGACGGUACCCAAAGAAUAAGCACCGGCUAACUUCGUG
rnacentral:rRNA from 1 species